rnacentral:rRNA from 1 species
UACGGAGGGUGCAAGCGUUAAUCGGAAUUACUGGGCGUAAGGCGUGCGCAGGCGGUUUGUUAAGUCUGUUGUGAAAUCCCCGAGCUCAACUUGGGAAUUGCAAUGGAUACUGGCAGGCUCGAGUAUGGUAGAGGAAGGUGGAAUUCCCGGUGUAGCAGUGAAAUGCGUAGAGAUCGGGAGGAACACCAGUGGCGAAGGCGGCCUUCUGGACCAAUACUGACGCUCAUGCACGAAAGCGUGGGGAGCAAACAGG